rnacentral:rRNA from 1 species
GGUGUAGGCGGAGCGGUAAGUACCUUGUGAAAUCCCCGGUCUCAAACCGGGAACUGCUUGGUAUACUGUCGCUCUUGAGGCAGGUAGGGGUCACUGGAACCUUAGGUGGAGCGGUGAAAUGCGUAGAUAUCUAAGGGAACGCCUGUGGCGAAAGCGGGUGACUGGGCCUGUUCUGACGCUGAGACCCGAAAGCGUAGGUAGCGAACG